rnacentral:rRNA from 1 species
UACGGAGGGUGCAAGCGUUAAUCGGAAUUACUGGGCGUAAAGCGCGCGUAGGCGGUUUUUUAAGUCGGAUGUGAAAGCCCCGGGCUCAACCUGGGAACUGCAUUCGAUACUGGAAGACUAGAAUGCGGGAGAGGGAGGUAGAAUUCCAUGUGUAGCAGUGAAAUGCGUAGAUAUAUGGAGGAAUACCAGUGGCGAAGGCGGCCUCCUGGCUCGACAUUGACGCUGAGGUGCGAAAGCGUGGGGAGCAAACGGG